rnacentral:tRNA from 1 species
GCGAGAGUGGCGGAAUUGGUAGACGCGCUGGAUUUAGGUUCCAGUGCCGUAAGGCGUGAGAGUUCGAGUCUCUCCUUUCGCACCA